rnacentral:lncRNA from 1 species
CAGGACCCCAGGUAGAGAAAGUAUCUGUGAAAGAUUAAGAAGAUGGCUGAUUCCAUGCAGAUGCCACACAACUGUCACAGACACCCCAGGGAUGGACUCCCCGGGAGUGACCACCAGUGACCUACCAAAAUCAAGAACAUCCUAAAGUGCCUUGUCCAGGAGGAGAGAAAUCCAUCCACCACAGAGCUGCAGGCCACUGGAGAAAGCUAUAUUAUGCGAAUGGCCACAAUUUUCAGGCCAAAUGCUUCAGCAGCAUUACCAACUGCACCUGGAGCUUUCAUACAUCUUGCAGAUUCUGGCAUGGAUCCUGGCGCAGUGACCAGUAUGCCAGCUGGCUUGUGGUGGCAAGAUGAUUCUCUGUUUCUUCUACUCCCUGGGGAACUUGAAAAGGUUAGGCAUCCCUGGCUUCUUAUGUUCAGGAAGACUAGUGUUAGCAGCGAAUGCCUUCAUGUUGUCCCUGAAAGGGAAGCAUUAGAUACAUCAUCUCUGAAAAGCAC